rnacentral:rRNA from 1 species
AGUGAACGCUGGCGGCAUGCCUAAUACAUGCAAGUCGAGCGGCCGGAUAGGAAGCUUGUUCCUCUGCGGGUGGCGACUGACGGGCGGGUAACGCAUAGAUAGCCUACUUCUUUUUCGGGGGUGAUUUCGUGAGGCAACGUAUAAUAACAGAUCAUAUAUUGUACGGGUUGGUGAAGGAGUUAAACGGGGUUUUCGCGUCACUUAGAGACGGUGUCGGAUUAGCUAGUUGGCGGGGUAAAGGCCCACCAAGGCGACGAUCCGUAGCUGGUCUGAGAGGAUGAUCAGCCACACUGGAACUGAGACACGGUCCAGACUCCUACGGGAGGCAGCAGUGGGGAAUAUUGGACAAAGGGCGCAAGCCUGAUCCAGCCAUACCGCGUGGGUGAAGAAGGCCUUCGGGUUGUAAAGCCCUUUUGUUGGGAAAGAAAAGCAGCAGGUUAAUACCCCGCUGUUCUGACGGUACCCAAAGAAUAAGCACCGGCUAACUUCGUG